rnacentral:rRNA from 1 species
GACGAACGCUGGCGGCGUGCCUAAUACAUGCAAGUAGAACGCUGAAGAGAGGAGCUUGCUCUUCUUGGAUGAGUUGCGAACGGGUGAGUAACGCGUAGGUAACCUGCCUUGUAGCGGGGGAUAACUAUUGGAAACGAUAGCUAAUACCGCAUAACAAUGGAUGACACAUGUCAUUUAUUUGAAAGGGGCAAUUGCUCCACUACAAGAUGGACCUGCGUUGUAUUAGCUAGUAGGUGAGGUAAUGGCUCACCUAGGCGACGAUACAUAGCCGACCUGAGAGGGUGAUCGGCCACACUGGGACUGAGACACGGCCCAGACUCCAACGGGAGGCAGCAGUAGGGAAUCUUCGGCAAUGGGGGCAACCCUGACCGAGCAACGCCGCGUGAGUGAAGAAGGUUUUCGGAUCGUAAAGCUCUGUUGUAAGUCAAGAACGGGUGUGAGAGUGGAAAGUUCACACUGUGACGGUAGCUUACCAGAAAGGGACGGCUAACUACGUG